rnacentral:pre_miRNA from 1 species
UUAACUCACAAUUUGUAUAGAUUUGCAACGUUUGCCCACGUUUGCCGCUAGGGGCGCUGUUCCAACUGCAUACAAAUUUAAGUUA